rnacentral:sRNA from 17 species
GUCAGUGACCCCCGACUAAAGUGCGGGGGCUUGUUUAGGCCAAUCUAAACGUAGUACUGACUAGAGCGCUGAGCCAAUAACUGCUACGUACCUCCGAGUACUUCUCUAGCUCGGACUACCUACA